GACGAACGCUGGCGGCGUGCUUAACACAUGCAAGUCGAACGAUGAACCCGGAGCUUGCUCCGGCGGAUUAGUGGCGAACGGGUGAGUAACACGUGAGUAACCUGCCCUUGACUCUGGGAUAACUGCGGGAAACUGUAGCUAAUACCGGAUACGACCCUCGGCGGCAUCGCCAGGGGGUGGAAAGAAUUUCGGUCAAGGAUGGACUCGCGGCCUAUCAGCUAGUUGGUGAGGUAACGGCUCACCAAGGCGACGACGGGUAGCCGGCCUGAGAGGGUGACCGGCCAAACUGGGACUGAGACACGGCCCAGACUCCUACGGGAGGCAGCAGUUGGGAAUAUUGCACAAUGGGCGCAAGCCUGAUGCAGCAACGCCGCGUGAGGGAUGACGGCCUUCGGGUUGUAAACCUCUUUUAGUAGGGAAGAAGCGAAAGUGACGGUACCUGCAGAAAAAGCACCGGCUAACUACGUGCCAGCCGCCGCGGUAA
rnacentral:rRNA from 1 species